AAAGUCCCUUCGGGGGCGAGUAGAGCGGCGAAAGGACUAGUAAUGCGUUUCUAUGUACCCCAUGGUCGGGGAUAGCCCGGGGAAACCCGGAUUAAUACCCGACGCCCUCUUCGGAGGAAAGAUUUAUCGCCAUGGGAGCAGGGAACGUCCUAUCGGGUAGUUGGUGAGGUAAUAGCUCACCAAGCCUUAGACGGGUAGCGGGUGUGAGAGCAUGACCCGCAGUAUCGGGACUGAGACACUGCCCGGACUCCUACGGGAGGCUGCAGUAACGAAUAUUCCGCAAUGCACGAAAGUGUGACGGAGCAAUGCCGCGUGCAGGAUGAAUCCCCUCGGGGUGUAAACUGCUGUCAGUGACUAGAAAAAAAAUGAUCAGUCGCAAAGGAAGGACCGGCUAAUCUCGUGCCAGCAGCCGCGGUAAUACGAGAGGUCCGAGCGUUACGCGGAAUUACUGGGCUUAAAGCGUACGUAGGCGGAUCUACAGGUAUCCUGUGAAAGCCCACGGCUCAACCGUGGAAUUGCAGGGUAAACCGUAGAUCUUGAGGUGGCUAGGGGCUCUCGGAACGGUAGGUGGAGUGGUGAAAUGCGUUGAUAUCUACCGGAACGCCAAAGGGGAAGCCAGGGAGCUGGGGCCAUUCUGACGCUGAGGUACGAAAGCGUGGGUAGCGAACGGGAUUAGAUACCCCGGUAGUCCACGCCGUAAACGAUGUGCACUAGGUCGAGGGGGUUUGACGCCGCUCUCGGCUGAAGCGAAAGUGUUAAGUGCACCGCCUGGGGAGUACGGCCGCAAGGCUAAAACUCAAAGGAAUUGACGGGGGCUCACACAAGCGGUGGAGCAUGUGGCUUAAUUCGAAGCAACGCGAAGAACCUUAUCCUGGGUUUGACAUGCAUGGAUUAGCUUCCUGAAAGGGAAGUGACGCGGCUUGCCGUGGAACAUGCACAGGUGCUGCAUGGCUGUCGUCAGCUCGUGCUGUGAAGUGUCGGGUUAAGUCCCUUAACGAGCGCAACCCCUAUCACUAGUUGCUAGCGAGUAAUGUCGAGGACUCUAGUGAGACUGCCGGUGCAAACCGGAGGAAAAGGUGGGGGAUGACGUCAAGUCCGCAUGGCCUU
rnacentral:rRNA from 1 species